rnacentral:rRNA from 1 species
GACGAACGCUGGCGGCGUGCUUAACACAUGCCAGUCGUACGGUAAGGCCCUUUCGGGGGUACACGAGUGGCGAACGGGUGAGUAACACGUGAGUAACCUGCCCACAACUUUGGGAUAACGCUAGGAGACUGGUGCUAAUACUGGAUAUGUGCUCCUGCUGCAUGGUGGGGGUUGGAAAGCUCCGGCGGUUGUGGAUGGACUCGCGGCCUAUCAGCUUGUUGGUGGGGUAGUGGCCUACCAAGGCGGCGACGGGUAGCCGGCCUGAGAGGGUGACCGGCCGCAUUGGGACUGAGAUACGGCCCAGACUCCUACGGGAGGCAGCAGUGGGGAAUAUUGCACAAUGGGCGCAAGCCUGAUGCAGCAACGCCGCGUGCGGGAUGACGGCCUUCGGGUUGUAAACCGCUUUCAGCAGGGACGAAGCUUUUUGUGACGGUACCUGCAGAAGAAGCACCGGCUAACUACGUG